AAAGAACCCCUGAUAUUUUAUCCCCAAGAGGAAAACCCCUAUCCAGCCCUUUUCGACCAUCAUCGCCAGUCAUCACCAGCACCCAGACGAUGCCCUUUUCAACCCUGCCGCCUCUCCGAUGGCGCUUGACGACGAUCUCAAGAGCGACGACCAGAAUGCGCGCGGCGCCGUAGCUGCAAAUCUGUCCCGCAAGAAAGCCACCCCUCCUCAACCCGCCAAGAAGCUCCUCAUCAAGCUCCGCACAGAUAUAUAAGAUUUUGUUCAUUGGUUACAUUGAUAAUAAAUAAACUUUGAGAAGCAAAACUGGAAGCCAGAGAACUCUUAUUCAUUUUCAGCAUUGCAGCAAUAAGCACAAGUUAUAAGCUGAAAGCAAGAUGUGUCCAUCUGUCUAUGCAGGAAAAAACUUUUCAUUGCUUGCACGUACUCUAUAAUGUGUGCUAGCUUUCUCUGUAGUUUUAUUGACAUUUGCUGUUAACGAACCAAAUGCCUCUUUCCUAUGGCAUGUUAUAUUCAAUUUUGAUGUAAUACUUUUCAAAACACUGUUUGAUAGUUCUACUUCUACUCACUGAUUCUUUCGAUCCU